rnacentral:rRNA from 1 species
UGGGGAAUAUUGCACAAUGGGCGAAAGCCUGAUGCAGCAACGCCGCGUGAGUGAUGAAGGCCUUCGGGUUGUAAAGCUCUGUCUUUUGGGACGAUAAUGACGGUACCAAAGGAGGAAGCCACGGCUAACUACGUGCCAGCAGCCGCGGUAAUACGUAGGUGGCAAGCGUUGUCCGGAUUUACUGGGCGUAAAGGAUGCGUAGGCGGAUUUUUAAGUGAGAUGUGAAAACCCUAGCUUAACUUGGGGGCUGCAUUUCAUACUGGAAAUCUAGAGUGCGGGAGAGGAGAAUGGAAUUCCUAGUGUAGCGGUGAAAUGCGUAGAGAUUAGGAAGAACACCAGUGGCGAAGGCGAUUCUCUGGACCGUAACUGACGCUGAGGCAUGAAAGCGUGGGUAGCAAACAGGAUUAGAUACCCUGGUAGUCCACGCCGUAAACGAUGAGUACUAGGUGUAGGAGGUAUCGACCCCCUUCUGUGCCGCAGUUAAACACAAUUAAGUACUCCGCCUGGGGAAGUACGAUCGCAA